UAGUGUUCGUGUGUAGGGAUGUGUGGAGAAGAGGGAGGCGAUUUUUAGAGGCGAGAGGGCCCUGUGGCUAAGGGUUGGAGGCCGCUGUUGACAAGGCCUGUGGCUGUGGCAGUUUUGCUCCGGAAGUGGCCAUUCUUCUGGGUAGGACUCCACCAGAGCACCUUUCACUUCCCUUUCACUUCCUGUCAAGAGGCAGCGGGCUUCCAGAAUUGGGGAAGUCCCAGGGGCAGCCUUUGGGUUUGACAGACCUGGACCCAAACCCUUUCUCUUCCCCCAACCCGCUUUGGCAUCUUGGCAAGUGACUGUCUCCAUUUCUGAACAGGAUGUUCGCAGUGGCCUGGAGAUGCUGGGGGUCCUUUCCUUUGUGGAGGUAUCAGUAUCAGAAUGGAGUCACUUAUGUCAAACACUAACAAAAUGGAGGCGGAGGCCAUGAAGAACAAGCCUACGUGAAUACAUGCCUGUAACAGGACUUGUCACAAGGAAUCCCUGCACAUAUGCCUAUGACAAGGACUAUGCCAGGAACUCCUCAAAUAUGCAGGAUUUGAGAUAGACUGGGAACUCCUUGAGGCCCGAGACAACCCGAAGACUCCCAGCUCACCAAAAACUGGCUACAGCAAUCAUUCAGUAACUAUCUGUCGAAUUGGACCUAACAGAAUAGCUGCAGAAUUUUAAGCAAGUCACCAUCAGUGGAUUCCUCAAAGCAAACCCGGAAAUCUCGACAUGAGUCUGAUUUAAGGUAGUCCAUUUUCAGCUCCUCAAAAUGUGAACAGUUUCCCAAGAGAACAGCUUGAAACAGAAAGGGGAGGAUGUAGAUGUGAUUGUAGAAGAUGAUAUCUAAGGCACCAACUGUCCACUGUGAAGAUAAAUCAUGCGUGGCUCGUUGCCAGUGACUCUCCUUCCUGUGGGGAGUCCCACUGCUUCCCUGGCCUGGGAGUUCUCUGCCAGUAGAUGUUAUUGACAAAAUAAGUAAAGUCCCCUGAUUCAGAGAAUGAGAGUUUCUGAAAGCUCUAGAUCGCCUCCGCCACGCUAUUUACACUCCUGCUUUAUUGUCCGAUGCGAGUUCAACAUCUAUGAGGACUUGUCCAGUGCAAGUCCUGAAAGUUAUCACCAGCACAUCCUGUCACUGUGCUGUCGUGAGCUAGGCAGUACAAUGAUGUUGGCAGGACCCUGUUUAGGUGGAAGAUGGCUACCUGGGCAUCAAGAAUCUUCUACUUUGAUUCCACAUUGGUUCCCCAAAGUGAGCUUCAGACAGCUCUUCACUGCAUCUUCUGAUUAAAGCGGCUGACGGGUGUCCCAGCUAGAGAAAAGUCCUGGGAGCA